GGGAGUACGGCUCAGUGGUAAAGCUCUUGCCUGGCAGGCAUGAAACCCUGGGUUCAAUCCCAAGCACUGCCA
rnacentral:tRNA from 1 species